AUACGGAGGGUGCAAGCGUUAAUCGGAAUUACUGGGCGUAAAGGAUACGUAGGCGGUUAAAUAAGUUGGAUGUGAAAGCCCCGGGCUCAACCUGGGAACUGCAUUCAAAACUGUUUGACUAGAGUGUAUGAGAGGUUGGCGGAAUUCCAGGUGUAGCAGUGAAAUGCGUAGAUAUCUGGAGGAACAUCAGUGGCGAAGGCGGCCAACUGGCAUAACACUGACGCUGAGGUACGAAAGCGUGGGGAGCGAACGGGAUUAGAUACCCUAGUAGUCC
rnacentral:rRNA from 1 species